rnacentral:rRNA from 1 species
GAUGAACGCUAGCGACAGGCCUAACACAUGCAAGUCGAGGGGCAGCACAUGAGUAGCAAUACGAUGGUGGCGACCGGCGCACGGGUGAGUAACACGUAUGCAACCUACCUGUAAGAGGGGAAUAACCCGGAGAAAUCCGGACUAAUACCGCAUAAUACUGAUUUUCUGCAUGGAAUAUUAGUUAAACAUUUAUGGCUUACAGAUGGGCAUGCGUAUGAUUAGUUAGUUGGUGAGGUAACGGCUCACCAAGACAUCGAUCAUUAGGGGUUCUGAGAGGAAGGUCCCCCACACUGGUACUGAGACACGGACCAGACUCCUACGGGAGGCAGCAGUGAGGAAUAUUGGUCAAUGGGCGAGAGCCUGAACCAGCCAAGUCGCGUGAAGGAAGACGGUUCUAUGGAUUGUAAACUUCUUUUGUAAG